rnacentral:tRNA from 1 species
GCGCCGGGUGGGCAACGGCACGUCGCCGCAUGUGCCGAACGCGGACGGGCUGUACGGCCGUACGUACGCCGGUUCCGGUCAGGCGCCGCUGCG